CAGCCCUUGAAGGCCACCAUCCUAAAACUCCUGGUGGUUUCCCCUUAGAGUCGCGCAAACGCCAGAAUUCUCCUUUAACUGCUUCCUGAAGGAUUGCUUUUGUUGUAAAAUCGAAUGCAGUUGAAAGUUGUCCCGCGCCAUCAAUCCAAUUGAUGAUUCUUUGCCUGUGACUAUCUUGGUUGUAAUCCAAAUUGCUGCCCUUGUAAUUGCAAGUGUCCCAGUAUUCUCCAACUGCAAAUAUUGGCUUAGCUCCCUCGAUAUAUUCCUUUACAUACUUCGAAGCAUAACCUUUGGCAAAAUCAAAACGAAAAUCUUGGAAGCCAACAGAGGAUCUUAGCCACCGCAUCCAGUCAAUGAGAUCUUUCCGGACAAAGGAUUGUGUAUGAUCUAUAUUUGGAAAUCCGUUAAAGUUGUCUCCAGUGCUUUUGUUACCCCUUCCACCAGUGCAAGAUGUAAUAGCAUGUUCAUCCCAAGACAUAGGAAUUCCAUCAUAGCGAUUGUAGAUUCCACCAUGCCCUUGGGUAGUCCCAACACGAUGGUUAAUGACUAUGUCUGCCAUCCCUCUAACUUUGUACUGCUUCAACUUAUCAAGUAAAG
rnacentral:misc_RNA from 1 species